CACUAGCGUAUAUUAAAGUUGUUGCAGUUAAAAAGCUCGUAGUUGGAUUUCUGGUCGGAAGCUCCUGUCCUCUGAUGAGCGUACAAGUGCGUCCUACCAUCCUUCUGUUAACCUUUAAGGCUUUCGCGGCUUUCUAGGGGCUCAGAUAUUUUACCUUGAGAAAAUUAGAGUGUUUCAGGCAGGCUAGCGCCGGAAUACAUUAGCAUGGAAUAAUGGAAUAGGACUUUUGCCUCUUCUGUUGGUCAUGAGGCUCGAGUAAUGAUUAAUAGGGAUAGUUGGGGGCAUUAGUACUUAACUGUCAGAGGUGAAAUUCUCGGAUUUGUUAAAGACUAACUUAUGCGAAAGCAUUUGCCAAGGAUGUUUNCAUUA
rnacentral:rRNA from 1 species